rnacentral:rRNA from 1 species
UACGUAGGGUGCGAGCGUUAAUCGGAAUUACUGGGCGUAAAGCGUGCGCAGGCGGUGAUGUAAGACAGAUGUGAAGUCCCCGGGCUCAACCUGGGAACUGCAUUUGUGACUGCAUCGCUGGAGUGCGGCAGAGGGGGAUGGAAUUCCACGUGUAGCAGUGAAAUGCGUAGAUAUGCGGAGGAACACCGAUGGCGAAGGCAAUCCCCUGGGCCUGCACUGACGCUCAUGCACGAAAGCGUGGGGAGCAAACAGG